GAUGAACGCUGGCGGCGUGCUUAACACAUGCAAGUCGAACGAAGAUGCCGGAGUGCUUGCACUUUGGCAGACUGAGUGGCGGACGGGUGAGUAACGCGUGGGUAACCUGCCUUAUACAGGGGGAUAACAGUUGGAAACGACUGCUAAUACCGCAUAAGCCCACGGCUCGGCAUCGAGCAGAGGGAAAAGGAGCAAUCCGCUUUGAGAUGGCCUCGCGUCCGAUUAGCUAGUUGGUGAGGUAACGGCCCACCAAGGCGACGAUCGGUAGCCGGACUGAGAGGUUGAACGGCCACAUUGGGACUGAGACACGGCCCAGACUCCUACGGGAGGCAGCAGUGGGGAAUAUUGCACAAUGGGCGAAAGCCUGAUGCAGCGACGCCGCGUGAGUGAAGAAGUAAUCUCGGUAUGUAAAGCUCUAUCAGCAGGGAAGAAAAAUGACGGUACCUGACUAAGAAGACCCGGCUAACUACGUGCCAGCAGCCGAC
rnacentral:rRNA from 1 species